rnacentral:rRNA from 1 species
UACGGGGGGGGUAAGCGUUGUUCGGAAUUACUGGGCGUAAAGGGCUCGUAGGCGGCCAACUAAGUCAGACGUGAAAUCCCUCAGCUUAACUGGGGAACUGCGUCUGAUACUGGAUGGCUUGGAUCCGGGAGAGGGAUGCGGAAUUCCAGGUGUAGCGGUGAAAUGCGUAGAUAUCUGGAGGAACACCGGUGGCGAAGGCGGCAUCCUGGACCGGCAUUGACGCUGAGGAGCGAAAGCCAGGGGAGCAAACGGG